UGCCUCAUAACGGCGAGUGAGCGGAACAGCUCAAAUUUGAAAGCUACCUUCGGGUUCGCAUUGUAAUUUGUAGAGGAUGCUUUGGGUAAAACGCCAGUCUAAGUUCCUUGGAACAGGACGUCAUAGAGGGUGAGAAUCCCGUAUGUGACUGGAAAUGUUAACCUAUGUAAAGCUCCUUCGACGAGUCGAGUUGUUUGGGAAUGCAGCUCUAAAUGGGAGGUAAAUUUCUUCUAAAGCUAAAUAUUGGCGAGAGACCGAUAGCGCACAAGUAGAGUGAUCGAAAGAUGAAAAGCACUUUGGAAAGAGAGUUAAAAAGCACGUGAAAUUGUUGAAAGGGAAGCGCUUGCAAUCAGACUUGUUUAAACUGUUCGGCCGGUCUUCUGACCGGUUUACUCAGUUUGGACAGGCCAGCAUCAGUUUCGGCGGCCGGAUAAAGGCUCUGGGAAUGUGGCCUCCACUUCGGUGGAGGUGUUAUAGCCCAGUGUGUAAUACGGCCAGCCGGGACUGAGGUCCGCGCUUCGGCUAGGAUGCUGGCGUAAUGGUUGUAAGCGACCCGUCUUGAAACACGGACCAAGGAGUCUAACAUCUAUGCGAGUGUUCGGGUGUCAAACCCCUGCGCGAAAUGAAAGUGAACGGAGGUGGGAACCGCAAGGUGCACCAUCGACCGAUCCUGAUGUCUUCGGAUGGAUUUGAGUAAGAGCAUAGCUGUUGGGACCCGAAAGAUGGUGAACUAUGCCUGAAUAGGGUGAAGCCAGAGGAAACUCUGGUGGAGCUCGCAGCGGUUCUGACGUGCAAAUCGAUCGUCAAAUUUGGUAUGGGGGAAAGACUAAC
rnacentral:rRNA from 1 species